GUCAGACGUCUCCAAGGCUCUGCUUUCGACCGACUUCAAGCCUCCGCCUUCAAGCUCGACCGACCAUCAACAGCGACCUCCGAAAAUUCUCCUCCUCGGUUUCUUCUAACACUAAGGCUUCCAAAACCCUAAUGGCUUCUUCUAUCAAAGACGACGACGCUGCCCUCGAUCCCUCAACUGAACCCUCGUCAGCAUCAAAGAAUAAGUACAAGGAUCCCGAUGACGGCAAACGUAGAUUCCUUCUUGAACUUGAAUUUGUGCAGUGCUUAGCGAAUCCAACCUAUAUUCACUAUUUGGCUCAAAACAGAUACUUUGAAGAUGAGGCUUUUAUUGGAUACUUGAAAUAUCUUCAGUAUUGGCAACGACCAGAGUACAUUAAAUUUAUAAUGUAUCCGCAUUGCCUUUUCUUCCUUGAACUCCUUCAAAAUGCAAACUUUCGUAAUGCUAUGGCACAUCCAGGAAACAAGGAGUUGGCUCAUCGACAACAGUACUUUUUUUGGAAAAACUAUAGGAACAACAGAUUAAAGCAUAUUCUACCACGCCCUCUUCCUGAACCUGCUGCACCUCCAGCUCCAGCUGCAUUACCUGCACCUUUGCCGCCUAUACCUGUUGCUUCUCCACAAGCAUCAUUACCAAUGCAGUUUGCUGGACAGCCUGGAUCUUCUUUUCCGAAGGUGGAUAUGAGAAAUAGUAUGGCAGAUCGUAGAAAGCGAAAGAAAGAAGCUUGAAGGAAGGUCACCUGUUGAAAGGUUCUCCAUAUUUCUUUCUUGCAGGGAAACAAAGCUUAUGAAGUGAGGAUGGCCAAAGUAGCCACUGAAUGAGCAAUGUACUGAUGAUUUGUGCUGGGACUUGCUGAACGCUGAAGGAGCUCAGGUGCAUGAAUCGUGGGGAUAGUUGCCUGUGGGCUACAAAUUGUGCUCAUCACCUACAUUUGUACAUCUGGAUUGUAUCGGAUAGGUUACACUUUCAUCUAAUUAUGUACGAUAACCCCUUUACGCUGUGGUCUCUAAACUAUAAUGUCUGAAACAAAGUAGGAAGUGAAGAGGCUUUGGCAUGAGUAAGAAUUUUUUUUAGGGAACGGUAGAUCAACGCAGUUUAUGAACUUCUCUUAUAUAA